GAUGAACGCUGGCGGCGUGCUUAACACAUGCAAGUCGAACGGAAAGGCUCCUGCUUGCAGGGGUACUCGAGUGGCGAACGGGUGAGUAACACGUGGGUGAUCUGCCCUGCACUUCGGGAUAAGCCUGGGAAACUGGGUCUAAUACCGGAUAGGACGAUGGUUUGGAUGCCAUUGUGGAAAGUUUUUCGGUGUGGGAUGAGCUCGCGGCCUAUCAGCUUGUUGGUGGGGUAAUGGCCUACCAAGGCGUCGACGGGUAGCCGGCCUGAGAGGGUGUACGGCCACAUUGGGACUGGGGUACGGCCCAGACUCCUACGGGGGGCAGCAGUGGGGAAUAUUGCACAAGGGGCGCAAGCCUUAUGCAGCGACGCCGGGUGGGGGAGGACGGCCUUCGGGUGGUAAACUCCUUUCGCUAGGGACGAAGCGCAAGUGACGGUACCUGGAGAAGAAGCACCGGCUAACUACGU
rnacentral:rRNA from 1 species